AAACACACACUCCCUCCCAAGGUAUUUGAGAUGCUGUUGCACAAAAUCCCCCUUAUUUGCCAGGUACUGCUGUGACUAUCAUCAUUCAUGUUCCAGACUUGGAGCUGAAGAAGCCAGCAAUCUGCAAAUGCCAAUGGGGACAGUCAAAAAAAGCCCUCCCCAAAAGCCUGCCCUGUCUAACCAAAGGGCCAGGAAAGGGGAAGCCUUUAAGAGAGAAAACAUUAACACAGUAAUUGCUAAAUUGUCCAGGCAGACAUAGAAAAACCUAUGGCCCUCAUGCCCACCCACAUCCGCAUAAGCCAGCUCGGGAGCCUAGAUGUCCACCCUCGCUAGGCUGUAACAAGGCCCUCCAACUCCCAUACCAGAGUGGUGUGAGAGGGGCCAUUGGGGAGCAGCGACUUUCAUACUUGCUGGGCAUUAAUGAGGACCACCCCCAAGUGUCGGUGGCAACCACAUGGGGAGCCUGGAUCUCCACUUCACUUGGCAGAAAUGAGGUACCCCUCUCCCUCCCCCACUCUAGGGUAGUAUCAAAGGAGGCCUAGUUGAGACUCAGGACUUGCAGUACUGCCCCAUGGUAAUUACGCCACAUACCCUCCUAUGGUGUCAGUGGAGGCCAGGAGGGGAGCAGUAAUGAAGGAUUCCAGGCCCUGUUGGCCGGGAGACGCCAGGGGAGGCCUAGUGGAGAGCCGUAACUCCCACUCACACCCAGCAGUAGUGAGGAGCACUCCCUACCACAAACACCUUCAGUGACAGAGUGAGGAACCUGGACUUCUACCCUCUCCUGACAUUAAUGAGGUGGCCCUCCCUUCUCCCCACUUCUAAUGGAGCAGUGUCAAAAAGAAGCCAGCUAGAAGAGAAGGUUUAAACAACAUCUAGAGUUUCAUAACAUAAGAUGCAAAAUGUCCAGGUUACAAUAAAAAAAAAAUCACUUAUCAUACCAAGAACUAAGAAGAUCUCAAACUGAAUGAAAAAAGAUAAUCAAUAGAUAUCCAACACUGAGAUGAUAGAUGUUAGAAUUAUUUGACAAAGAUUUUUAAACAGCUAUUAUAAAAAAUGUUCAACACCAUCAACCAACAAGAUACAACCCACAUUUAUAGAAUAUUUCACCCAAUACCACAGAAAACACAUUUUUAUUAAGUACUCAUGGAACACAUACCAAGAUAAACCAUAUCCUGAGCCAUAAAACUAGCCUGAACAAAUUUAAAAGAAUUAAAAUCAUACAGAGUGUGUUCUCUGACCACAAUGGAAUCAAACUAGAAACCAGCAUCAGAAAGAUAACAGGAAAAUCUCCAAACAUUUGGAAAAUAAACAAUACACUUCUAAGUAAUCCAUGGGUCAAAGAGGAAGUCUCAAGGAAAUUUUUAAAAAAAUCAUUGAAGUGAAUGAAACUGAAAAUACAACAUAUCAAAAUUUGUGUGACACAGUUAAAUCAGUGCCAAGAGCAAAAGUUAUAGCACUAAUUGCAUUAUAUACAAUUAGAGAAGAGGAAAUGUCUCAAAUCAACAAUCUAAGCUUCCACCUUAAGCAUCUAGAAAAAGAAGAGCAAAAUAAACCCAAAGCAUGUAGAAGCAAGGAAAUAAUAAAGAGCAGAAAUCAAUGAAAAUGAAAACAGAAAAGCAACAGACGAAAAUCAAUGAAACAAAGAGCUGGUUGUUUGAAUAGAUUAUAACAGACAAACCUCCAGCAAGACUAACAAAAAAAGAAGUCACAAAUUAUCAUUAUCAGGAAUAAAAUGGUGUAUCACCACAGACCUUGCAGACAUCAAAAAGAUAACAGAACUACUCUAUAUACAUAAAUCUAAGAACUUAUUCAUGAAUUUAGUAUUAUCCUGCUAUCAAAACCAAAGACAGUACGUAAGAGAAAACUACAGAAAAAUAUCCUCAUAAAAUAGACAUAAAAAUCCUUAAUAAAAAGCAAAUAUAAUUCAGCAAUAUAUAAAAAGAAUUAUAUACCCUGAAUAAGUGAGGUUUAUUCCAGAGAUACAAGAUUGGUUCAAUAUUUGAAAAUUAAUAAAUGUAAUCUACCAUAUUAAUAGACUAAAGAAUAAAAAUCACAUGAUCAUAUCAAUUGGUGCAGAAAAAGCAUUUGAAAAAUUCAACACUCAUUCAUGAUAAAACUCUCUGAAAAUUAGGAAGAGAGGGGAACUUCAACUUGAUAAUGAGCAUCUAUUAAAAAAACCCUACAGGGGCCAGCCCGGUGGCGCAAGUGGUUAAGUGUACACGCUCCACUGUGGCGGCCUGGGGUUCGCUGGUUCGGAUCCCGGUGCGCACCGACGCACCGCUUGUCAAGCCAUGCUGUGGCGGCGUCCCAUAUAAAGUACAGGAAGAUGGGCAUGGAUGUUAGCCCAGGGACAGUCUUCCUCAGCGAAAAAGAGAACUGGCAGAUGUUAGCUCAGGGCGGUUCUUCCUCACA